rnacentral:rRNA from 1 species
GAUGAACGCUGGCGGCGUGCCUAAUACAUGCCAGUCGAGCGAACAGAUAAGGAGCUUGCUCCUUUGACGUUAGCGGCGGACGGGUGAGUAACACGUGGGUAACCUACCUAUAAGACUGGGAUAACUUCGGGAAACCGGAGCUAAUACCGGAUAACAUUUGGAACCGCAUGGUUCUAAAGUGAAAGAUGGUUUUGCUAUCACUUAUAGAUGGACCCGCGCCGUAUUAGCUAGUUGGUAAGGUAACGGCUUACCAAGGCGACGAUACGUAGCCGACCUGAGAGGGUGAUCGGCCACACUGGAACUGAGACACGGUCCAGACUCCUACGGGAGGCAGCAGUAGGGAAUCUUCCGCAAUGGGCGAAAGCCUGACGGAGCAACGCCGCGUGAGUGAUGAAGGGUUUCGGCUCGUAAAACUCUGUUAUUAGGGAAGAACAAACGUGUAAGUAACUGUGCACGUCUUGGCGGUACCUAAUCAGAAAGCCACGGCUAACUACGUG